rnacentral:rRNA from 1 species
AUCGAACGCUGGCGGCAUGCCUAACACAUGCAAGUCGAACGAGUGGCGGACGGGUGAGUAAUGUCUUGGAAACUGCCUGAUGUAGGGGGAUAACUACUGGAACCGUUAGCUAAUACCGCAUACCAUCGUAUGUGCCCAGAGGGGAUUAUCUAGGCGGUGGGGUAAAGGCUCACAAAGGCGACGAUCCCUAGCUGGUCUGAGAGGCUGACCAGCAACACUGGAACUGAGACACGGUCCAGACUCCUACGGGAGGCAGCAGUGGGGAAUAUUGCACAAUGGGCGAAAGCCUGAUGGAGCAAUGCCGCGUGUAUGAAGAAGGCUUUCGGGUUGUAAAGUACUUGCAGCGGGGAGGCGUUACCCGAAGAGGAAGCACCGGCUAACUCCGUGCCAGCAGCCGCGGUAAUAC